UCUAACACUCCACCGCAAAAAAAAUAAAAAUCCGUAUUUGUCACUGAUGCCGUCAUUUCUUUAACGUUUAUUAAAAACUCAGGACUGACCACUGUAGGAUUGUUUGGACUUUUUAAAACCGCCCGCUUCGUCUUGAAGCGCUCUCUAAACAUCCGAAAUGUCAGCCAGCGCCGUUUAUGUCUUAGAUCUGAAAGGCAAGGUCCUGAUUUGCCGUAACUACCGCGGCGAUGUGGACAUGUCUGAGAUCGAGCACUUCAUGACCCUGCUGAUGGAUAAGGAGGAGGAAGGCACUCUGUCUCCCAUCCUGGCGCAUGGAGGUGUGCGCUUCAUGUGGAUCAAACACAACAAUCUGUACCUUGUUGCCACGUCUAAGAAGAAUGCCUGCGUCUCCUUGGUGUUCUCUUUCCUGUAUAAAAUUGUGCAGGUUUUCUCGGAGUAUUUUAAGGAGCUGGAGGAGGAGAGCAUCCGAGAUAACUUCGUCAUCAUUUACGAGCUGCUGGACGAGCUGAUGGAUUUCGGUUACCCUCAGACGACGGACAGCAAAAUCCUGCAGGAAUACAUCACACAAGAGGGGCACAAGUUAGACACCGGAGCUCCUCGUCCACCCGCAACCGUCACCAACGCUGUGUCCUGGAGGUCAGAGGGCAUCAAGUACAGGAAGAACGAGGUUUUCCUGGACGUCAUCGAGUCCGUCAAUCUUCUGGUCAGUGCCAAUGGAAACGUCCUCCGCAGUGAGAUCGUGGGCUCCAUUAAAAUGCGAGUGUUUCUGUCGGGAAUGCCCGAGCUGCGUCUGGGGCUUAAUGACAAGGUCCUGUUCGAAAACACUGGACGAGGGAAGAGUAAGUCUGUAGAGUUGGAGGAUGUGAAGUUCCACCAGUGUGUACGGCUCUCCCGCUUCGAGAAUGACCGCACCAUCUCCUUCAUCCCUCCAGACGGCGAGUUUGAGCUCAUGUCGUACCGCCUUAACACACACGUGAAGCCCCUGAUCUGGAUUGAGUCUGUGAUUGAGAAACAUUCACACAGCAGAAUCGAGUACAUGAUAAAGGCCAAAUCGCAAUUUAAACGCCGAUCUACAGCCAAUAACGUGGAGAUCCAUAUCCCAGUGCCCACGGACGCAGACUCGCCCAAGUUUAAGACCACUGUGGGGAGCGUGAAGUGGGUCCCAGAGAACAGCGAGAUCGUCUGGUCCAUUAAAUCUUUCCCUGGAGGUAAGGAAUAUCUGAUGAGAGCACACUUUGGCCUGCCUAGCGUGGAAGCUGAGGAUAAAGAAGGAAAGCCACCGAUCAGUGUUAAAUUUGAGAUCCCCUACUUCACCACCUCUGGAAUUCAGGUUCGUUACCUGAAGAUCAUCGAGAAGAGCGGAUACCAGGCUCUCCCAUGGGUACGAUACAUCACCCAGAACGGAGACUAUCAGCUCCGGACUCAGUAGUAGAACUUCACCCGUCUCCUGCUGUCUGACCCACGUGGACUUGGAUCUCUCUCUCUCUCUCUCUCUCUCUCUCUCUCUUUGUAUCUCUGUUUCUUUCUUUCUCUCUGCAAAGUUUGAGACAACAAAAUAUCGUGAUCAUCUCUACAAAACAACAACUACUCAAACGACACACUCGAUUCAUUUGGAGCUCUUUCAAAUGACUCGUUUGAAUCCUGUUUCUGAAUCAUUUCUUACACAAAAGAAUUAGCUAAAUGAUCGAUUUACUGUGGCGAGCUAAUCUGAAAGGUCUCUCAAACGCUGCAGACGUGGACGUCUCUCGGGCCUGCUGUGACGCAGACCACGUUUUUUUGUUUCUUUUUGCGGACCAUCGGUGUCUCUCUCUGUACGUUCAGAAAUAUUCCUUCUGUCGAUGGUCAAUGGCGAGAGAGCUGUUUUUUUUUUUUUUUUUUUUCUCGUAACCAGCUUCAAACAAUCCUCAGUAGUAUUUCAGUGUAGUAUUAGAUAUGUGUGUUUACAGGAGUGUUUACAGUGCACAAUGUAGUAUGUACUUUUUACUAACAGAGGUGGACAAAUCAUGCAUUUUAUUAGCUAGCCUUUCAGGCAAAGGGGGAAAAAAAAUCUUUCAAAAUCGCUAAUGUACCAUAAUAAAGUAUGACGAGGUACAAAAGUGCAUUGAUAUAAACGAUAGGAAAGAAAUAUUUUCACUGGAGCAUCUACAUCUGGCUAGGCUUUAAUUAUCUCUCGUCAUGUGACGCCGCAUUUUUCCCCAUGUUCCCACCAUGUUUCUGCUCCUAAGAUCUAAAUAAUAUGUUUAAUAAAAAUAAAAUCCCCACAAAUAUGUAUAGCGCCGUCAGGUAGUGCAGCAGGUAGGGUUUCCACCGUCUUUAUCAUCAGCCGCGUCUCAAAUCGAAGACCCCAUAUACAAGUAUGAGUAUUUCCUAACCUGGACAACACGGAAAGUUCUCUUUUUUUAGCAUGUUUCAGUGCUUUUGAGAGGUUUUUUUAAAACUAAAACACUAUAUGUAAUGAGAAAAGCAGUGAUCCGUCAGAAUAAGACGUAUAGACGCGUGACGGUCCUCAGCGGAUGCAGUGUCACAUGCUAUAGCACCUUUGUGUUAACGUUAACAUUGGUGUUGCACGACGUGGACGUUAAUCAGUCCCUCCAGCUCCAUGAAAUCAGGAGGAGUUUGCCGUUUUUCGGAAUUAUUUCAGAUUUUCUGCAGCUUUGUUUUGUGUGACUUCAUCACAACACGCGUUCAGCCAAAUUCAGCCCUCUUCCAUUCACGUGAGUGCAGCUCUCAUAGAAACCUGUUACAUGUGUCUCUUCAGUGAGUUUAAUAGAAGAAUCCUGUGCUGGAAAUUUCACCAAUUCAAGUAGUUUUCCUUAAGAAAAUAAAAGAAAGACACCCAAAUAACUCACAAAUGCGGCAUUGUGGCCCUAAAAAACCCUGCUAAAUCAUGGAAGGAAUGACCGAUUAACGUGUCAGCUGUACGUAUUUGUGUAAAAAGCUCAAAGUUAGUAUUAUUCUGCCUUUAAAAUUGGCUUGUCCUGUCCAGCCGGCUAAGUGAUUUGUCCACCCCUGAUCAUGCACAUUUCAGAAAUGUUUUGUAUCACUGAUGCUUAACAUCGAAUCUCAAUUUCGAGUCAUUUUCAAGGUCAUUUCCAACAGUUACAUCAGUUUCACAGGUCAAUCAUUUCCUCGGCUAUUCUCUAGAUAUCCUGAUCGAUUUGUAUACCUUGUACUGUGUUUAUUAAUUUUUUUUAACCAGCCUUUUGUUUUUGUUUUACAGUAUUAGCAAGCGAAUAGAGCUCAAGAUGUUGAGAUCUUAAUGAUAUCUCACUGUCAUGUUUACCAUGAAACUUUGUAUGAUUGAUUGAUGCCAUUGCACACCAAAAACGGUGCUCUCUGCCAUUGCAACAGUUCUGAUUCCUUUUUACUAACAUUGUGUCUUUUUAGGAUUUAAGUGUGAUUUAAUCGAAACUCCCGGACGCUUUUGUUCCAGCUCACCGGCAUACGUUAUGUGUAUAUGUGUUCCUCUGUUGUGCUGCGUAUAUAUAUAAAUAUAUAUAUAUAUAUAUCUGACCCGAUCGGAAACAAAAACGAUUCGGAAUCGCCGCCAAGACGAUGCAUGUCCUGUACGGUCGGAGACGGAGAGAGAGGAGCAGUCCAGUUCCUUUCACGUGUGGGUGGAGCCUAUUUCAGGGCUGGAAAAAUGCACAGAGAAGCCUGAAAUGAAGAAACUUUUCUCUUAGGCAACCACUGCAUGUGAAUCAGACGCUCUCAUCCACCCAGCCCAGCUGGUCCUCUCCUGCAAGGCGCGAUUGUUCACACGCGGCCGGACACACACUUGGGUUUGCUCACAGAGGCCAUGAGGUCAUCGUGCAGAGUGUCGAGCCUUUUAAGUGUGAGACAAUCGCUGCACGGAGCUCCUGAUGUCAUUUAUUUCCUCUCCUUUGUAUUAUGGAGUACUAUUUUUAUUUUUACAUUCUUUUUUCCCUUAAUGCCUGGCCUUUACAUAGUGUUCCCGACUAUUAGACGAUGGAGAUAAUCAUCUAGACGUUCAUCGCCCGUCUCGUCUAGACGCCUACGCUCACUUUGAAGUCAAUCACGGAAAACUGUUUCCUUUUCGCUGUGACCAGGUCAGACUGGAGUUAUAUAGCCACAGGGAGAUGAUGACGAUGCAGGCUGAAGUGCGAUGGAGCCUCUAAUCAGGCAUAACAUUAUGACCACCUGUCAAAACAGCCCUGCCCCGUCAUGCACUGUGUAUUCUGACCCCUUUCUAUCAGAACCAGCAUUAACUUCUUUAGCAAUUUGAGCAACAGUAGCUCGUCUGUUGGAUCGGAUCACACGGGCCGGCCUUCGCUCCCCACAUGCCUCAAUAAGCCUUGGUUGCCCAUGGCCCUGUCGCCGGUUCACCACUGUUCCUUUCUUGGACCACUAUUGAUAGAUACUGACCACUGCAGACCGGGAACACCCCACAAGCGCUGCAGUUUUGGAGAUGCUCUGAUCCAGAUGUCUAGCCAUCACAAUUUGGCCCUUCGUCAAACUCCUUACACUUGUCCAUUUUUCCUGCUUCUAACACAUCAACUUUGAGGACCAAAUGUUCACUUGCUGCCUAAUAUAUCCCACCCACUAACAGGUGCCAUGAUGAGGAGAUCAUCAGUUUUAUUCACUUCACCUGUCAGUGCUCAUAAUGUUAUGGCUGAUCGGUGUUAUAGAAAAGAGAUGAGUGAAGGUAACACUUUAUAAUAAGGGCCCAAAUGUACAGCUUUAAUAAAUAACCAUGUUAACAUAUGAACAUGUUUCUUCCAUCUGUGAGUAAA